AGAAAGAAAAAUCUCUGAAAGAAGGAAAAAUAAUUAAAUUUAGGAAUUUAAUCUUGUGUGCCUUUUAAAAUUUAAAUCCACACUGAAAUAGUUGACAAUAUUUGUCACUAGACGGCGAUACGUUCGCACCAUGCUUUCUGCCUUGAAAGCAGUAGCAGCAAUCAGCUGCUUUUUCUCUAAUUAAAUAAAAAAUCAAUUUUACACAUCUACUUCACGACAUAUUUCGCAAGUCAUUUAUUUAUUUUUCUUUUUUUUUUAUUGAGACACACAUUAAAUAUAUUUUUAUCUUUUUUUUUUUAAUAAAUUAUUUAUUAUUGUAAAUUUAAGACCGUUUUGACAAAAAAGAAAAAAAAUACAUCACCAUUUACAUCUUUAACACAUUUUUUUACGGAUGAUGUAUGGUAAACAAUUUAAUUUUUCUGAGUUUGAUGUAUCACAUGAUAAUGUUUUAACACACGAGAAUCAAUUAAUAACACUAAAUAAAGAGACACAAAGCUUGAAUUAAGAGGGGGAAAAUAACUGUCAAACUUAAUUUCACGAUUUUUCUAUGGAAAAAAUGACAAAUCUUCGAUAUUUCUCAAUAUUGAAUAUAAUUGAGAAUAGAAUUUUUAAUAAGUCAAAUGACAAUUUAGGUACGAAAAAAUUGAUUCCAGAAUUGUGAAUGUGUAUAUGUAUGUAUGUUUGUGAAACAUCGAAAGAAGGCAAUAACAGAAAAUUAUAUAUAUCAAAAAACGCAUAUAGUUAAAACACAUACGACACGACGGAAAGAGAUGAUUCUUUUUAAAUUAGAAUGGAAUAUCUUAUUAAAAGACUUACCAACAUACGAGGUAUCGCAGUCGCCACUCUGUUUACGUUCCUUAGUAUCCGCCAUAUUGAGUUACGAAUCAACAUACAACUUCCGGAGAUGCGCGAGUGUCAAACGUGUCACAAACCACUUUGCGUUUACUACGUAAACGUAUACAUAUAUGUGUAACGUCAUUAAAGUUCAAAUCGAGGUUAAAGAAAAGAAAAAAAAAAUUAAUUUUUUCACGUUGCAUGCUACGUUUUGCAUGCAUGUAUAAUUGCAGUAAAAAAAAACAACAAUAAAUUCAUGUCAUUUUUAUUGCUCGUCAUUGUCUGAAUUUAAUUAUUUUGUACAAUGUUAAGGUUAUGUUUGCGCGCUUUUUAAAUAUAUAAAUUAUUAAUAUAAAUAAAACAAUGUAUAAAUAUAUUUGAAAAUCAAAAAUAUUUUUGAAUUAUUCUUAAGAAAGAACCUUAUUUGUUUUCAAACUUUCAAUUGGGUGUCUAACGGUCAGGGAAACGUCUAUAAAAGCAGCCCCAAAAAAGAAAUGGUUGGCUGCACAGACAAGACUGAGAGGAAUCGUACUGCAGUAUAAUGAACACCGGAAAAAUAAUCGAGAACUCGAUUAUUUAAAAAAACUGUCUUUCUACAUUGCCUUUUAAAUUUUUUAUAAAUUAAUUAUUUUGAAUACUUAUAUUUUUGGACAAUUUGAUAUAUCAUAUUAUGUGACUAUAAUAUUAUGCAACUAAUAAUAAAUGAACUAUAAUGAUAAAUUA